AAUUAGAAUUAGAAAACAUUUUACACUAUUAAUCUGAGACAAACAAAAGUGUUAAUUUAGAUAAACUGAAUUAUAUUAGUCAUGGAUCUGGAAGUAUCUUU